rnacentral:tRNA from 1 species
GGGCUUGUAGCUCGGUGGUAGAGCACUUGCCUUGCAUGCAUGAGGUUCUUGGUUCAAUCCUCAGCACCA